CGCUCUCACGAGAUAGUAGACAUGACAUAACAUAAAACAAAAAAUGGCUGUCAAAAGUUUAUUUUCAAGAAGUGUUCUCAACCUCAGAAGAAGCCUACUGGGGUCCACAGGAGCUUUGGUUUGAGACUGAAGAUACCAAGCAGGUCUUUGUUGAUAGAAUUGACAGUGCUAAGCGUUUAAUUUUCUUGCUGCCAGAGGUUCAUUGGCCUUGGAAAACAUGAAGAUUUGGCAAACUGAUGUUGUUGUUGAAGAAGUAACGAAGUGAAGUGUUGAAAGUCUGUAGGGCCAGGGAACACCUAGUGGGUUCGGGUAUCGUCCAAGCACCUCCUGAAGAACGGAAAUUGAUUGUACUACUAUUGUCGCUUUGAAGGACUACCGUCGCUUGUUGACAGGACAGUCUUCCUGGCAUCAACCUAUGUAUACAGAAAAUAAUCAAUUUCGCCAACUUUCUACAAUGCACAAUGGCGUAGUCUCAAGUCUCAAUGCCGUCUAUUUAUAUGCAAGAAAUCAAGGAAAACUCUUUGGAAGAGUUCACUGGAGUAAUGCUAACUGUAGCUAACCUGGAGCUGUAUAGACAUAGCCUUUUACUGUACCUACAGACCUACCUAAGCAUUAUUUAUUUGUCAGCCAUAAUCAUAAAUUUUUAUUUUUGUCUUUUUGAUUCUGGUAAAAAAGAAAACCCACCAGGAAUGUAUUCCCCUCCCUUCUGUGUAUUUUUUUAGUGGUUCA